rnacentral:rRNA from 1 species
UAAGCAUAUCAAUAAGCGGAGGAAAAGAAACCAACAGGGAUUGCCUCAGUAACGGCGAGUGAAGCGGCAACAGCUCAAAUUUGAAAUCUGGCCCUCUCAGGGUCCGAGUUGUAAUUUGGAGAAGAUGCUUCGGGUGUGGUCCCGGUCUAAGUUCCUUGGAACAGGACGUCACAGAGGGUGAGAAUCCCGUACGUGACCGGUGGCCUCCCCCAUGUGAAGCUCUUUCGACGAGUCGAGUUGUUUGGGAAUGCAGCUCAAAAUGGGUGGUAAAUUUCAUCUAAAGCUAAAUAUUGGCCAGAGACCGAUAGCGCACAAGUAGAGUGAUCGAAAGAUGAAAAGCACUUUGGAAAGAGAGUUAAACAGUACGUGAAAUUGUUGAAAGGGAAGCGCUUGCAACCAGACUUGCGCGCGGCCGAUCAUCCGGUGUUCGCACCGGUGCACUCGGUCGCGCUCAGGCCAGCAUCGGUUUGGGUGGCUAGAUAAAGGCCUCGGGAAUGUGGCUCUCUUCGGGGAGUGUUAUAGCCCGAGGUGCCAUGUAGCCUACCCGGACCGAGGACCGCGCUCGGCUAGGA